CCUACGGGAGGCAGCAGUGAGGAAUAUUGGUCAAUGGACGCGAGUCUGAACCAGCCAAGUAGCGUGAAGGAUGACUGCCCUAUGGGUUGUAAACUUCUUUUAUAAGGGAAUAAAGCGCGGCACGUGUGCCUUUUUGCAUGUACUUUAUGAAUAAGGAUCGGCUAACUCCGUGCCAGCAGCCGCGGUAAUACGGAGGAUCCGAGCGUUAUCCGGAUUUAUUGGGUUUAAAGGGAGCGUAGAUGGGUUGUUAAGUCAGUUGUGAAAGUUUGCGGCUCAACCGUAAAAUUGCAAUUGAUACUGGCAGUCGUGAGUACAGUUGAGGUAGGCGGAAUUCGUGGUGUAGCGGUGAAAUGCUUAGAUAUCACGAAGAACCCCGAUUGCGAAGGCAGCUUACUAAACUGUGACUGACACUGAUGCUCGAAAGUGUGGGUAUCAAACAGGAUUAGAUACCCGAGUAGUC
rnacentral:rRNA from 1 species